rnacentral:tRNA from 1 species
CGGGCUGUGGCGCAGUUUGGUAGCGCACUUGUCUGGGGGACAAGGGGUCGUGGGUUCAAAUCCCGCCAGCCCGA